GCCUCACGGGCAUGGAUGAUGCCUGUCCUGUACAAGUCUGUGGAGAGAUGUCCUACCAUUCUUCAUAGGGGCCGGGGACCUAUCCACAGAAAACGUGAUUUCUCAUUCAUUCUUCAUACUGAGAAAAACAGGAACAGGAAAUGGACAGAUAAGUGGAUAAUUAGGAUUUAUUUUUCUGCAUGAUGAAUAAUUUUUAAUCUUUUUUUUCCCCUGUAUGACUUGAUAAAUGGUUCCGUAAUUCUUGCUAUUUCAUUCUUGUAUUUUUCCUGGCACAUUUAUAAAAUCAGGAAGUUAAAACUAAAAAAUAAAAUUGUAUUUAUUUAUUCCAUUUUUAGCCAUAUUGACACCACAUAUUGGGUCAUAUAUUCCUGUGAUGGGGAAAUUAAAAUCAUGUGCUGAAAGGGCUUUUUUGUGUACCUCUUCCUGAAACAACUAUGGGGCCCUGAAGGUGUGUGUGUGCAAACUAUCAUCCUUCUACAGACAAAAUGAAUAAAUGAUCUUCAAGUGUUUUAUUUGUUCCCAAUAGCCCAUUUUUAUGCUUUUGUAAUACCAUCAGAGUAACCUUCUUCAUACUCACAACGCAGAGUCACAGGGAAACAUAAAACUCUUAAAUAAAUAAUCAGUAAGAGCAGACAAAUAACAGAACUGAAAAAUUAUUAUUUCAGUUAAAUAGCUUCCUCCUCUUCAUUUCUAUUAAAGCACUGUCCAGUUUCUGGACAGAAGGAACUGGUUUUCUGUGUAUCCAGAGUUUACGGAAGUUUAAAAGGUUAAGGCUGUCCCAAAUAUCUGUGCUGUCCACUUAAAAUAUCUGAAAGCACCGAGGGCUGUGUAAUAAAGUUUCUCGGUAUCUUUUUGAAAACUAAAGGUCACUAAUAAUAAAAUCCCCUCACAGUACAUAAACUUCUUACCCAAAAAUGUUCUUCACCAUGGGCACAGGCAGCACACAUUUCUGAAAGCAGUAUUUACACAGCCCUCCGUAUUCAUCGGUUACUCUGGUGAGGAUAUGAAUGCAAAAACCUAAAAGGAAUUUACAAUUUCAUUAAAUGACUGUGAUCUUACACAAUAUAAUAUUCUCCUCUUUGCAAAAUCUGUCUUGAGAAUCAAGGGUCCUGGGUCCUCUCCUCUGCUCUCUUCUCUUACUCACCCCACAGGGUUUCAUAGGCCUGGAGGGCAAAGAUGACCAUGUUUCUGGUGAACCAUAUAUUUGCUGUUUUGGCCAUUUGAUUUUGAUCAUUAGCCUGAAGAAAAAUGCAGUCAUGACUUGUUUUCACUUUUUAAGUAGAAUUUCAUUUCAUUUCAAUUAGUCAUUUAUAAAAGUUUCUGGGUUUGUUAAAAGAGAAAUAAGCACCUAACAUUUUAGAUGCUUAUUUCAGUGCAGUGUUUUUCCUCUCCACUGCCACUAAUGUCUGCUCAGCAUGAGGGAUUGUUGCAAAGUUAACAACACAACAUAGGCGAUUAUGCUGCUGUUGCUAUGUGCUCGUCCAGAAGAAGUGAAUGCCAAAGGUCAAGGUGUCACUGGAAUCUGGUUCCUUAGGUAGAAAACAUAUUAAAGUAAUAUAAAUAAUAAUCUGAACUUGAAGCACUAUUUGAGAAGUGGGAUCAAUUGGAAUGUAUGUGUGACUUUCCAGCAUCUAUUCUUAUGAAUUACUAAUCUUACCGACAUAAGCACAUGGUUACAACCAAUCAAAUAAAAAUAGCAGUUAAUUGUUGUUAUGGACUUGGUGACCUGCCGAAGAGAAAUAAGCUUCUAUCUCACAUCAAGAUAAUUCCUACAGGGAUUGUCAAGCUGGAGAAACUCUAUACAAUUUUUUUUUUUUUUUGCCUGAUUUUAUCUCUGAUUGCCAGUCGGGAAAUGUCUGUCAGUCUGCACUAGCUACUAUGAGGUGGGGUGAAAACCGGACUUUGAGGGGGAGCUAAACUGACCUGACCUCUUUUGCAGUCAAACAAACAUGUUUGACUUUUCGAGGCAGAUCUGGAAGCAGUCAGGUUGUGUGAACUGAACAUUGACCCAUCUGCUAUGUCUGUUUCUGACAGCCAAUAAAGAAAAGAGACUGGAACAUGACAACAGCUCUGAACUGACUAUUUCUUUCUUUGUAACUAAGCAACAUUAUGUACAGAAAAGCAAAAGAGCAUAAAGCAUCAUACCAGCUCUCACCCAACUAAAUACCAUAACACAAUGUAACAUGUUAAACAAAUAAAAAACUACAGAGAAAUACUUGGACAUUCAAGACUAAAACACACUAAAUAAUUAGAUGCCUUACUUCAUUAUUUGGUUUACUGAAAUAAACCAAACUGUUUCCAUAAUUCAAAGAAAGGCAAUGAGACUUAAUUUAACGAACUGACAUUUCUACAAUACAAUCAUUCCAAAACCCACAGACAAAUGCAUAGCCUCUUAUACAUGUUCCAACUACCAACAGGAGUAGAACAAACAAUACAGCUGAAUUAAUCUGAAUCAUAUUCAGCUUCAUCUCUGCUUCAAUAUAUGUGGGGGUGUAACAGAAACAUAGCUUGUCCAAAGUCUGAGAAUUUCUUUUAUUACCACCAUCGUACUGAUAUUUUUGUUCCUUUAGACUGUCAACCUUGCAAGAGUUUCCAUGAAGCCUUGAUGUGCUCAGUUGGCUUUAGUUUGUCUGUAAUAUCCUGUGAUCUGUGAUCCAGCAUCAGACACAGUCACACAGUUAAGUGUCUGGACCUCGGUCUUUCCCAGUCUUUUCAAAAUCUGACCGUGAAAGUCAUCUGGUGUGUUCCUGACCAAUAAGCCGUCUGACAUCUUAUGCAGUGUAUAUAAAUAUCUGGUUUCAAUUGUACUUGAACGAAUUACAACCGAAUUCAUCUAUUAGCAUCCCUGCCAAUACUACUGUAACCUACCCUAUUUGAAUAUACUAAGAUGAUGCAGAAACAAAAAAAUAAUUAAUCUAUUAGGCAUGUCAGUGCUUGUUCAGCUUGAAAUCUAUUCUUGUAUUAAACUGGCAGAAACAUAAAAGGUAAUACAGCUCCAGUUGUCUUGGUUGUAUUCCCUGUAACUAAUUUCAUAAGACAUGGCCAAUCAGACAUGCUAAUUGUAAGCACAAGGCUGCCGUAAUUGGAACAGUUUUGACCUGUUAGCCCAGUUGAGUGCAGUGGUGCAUGAAUAAGCAGCACCUCAUAUAUUUCAUGUGUGCUGCAGGAAACAAUCUCUAAAAGUCUUUUUUUUUUUUUUUGAUUUUCUGAUAGCACAAAGGUCCUGAAAGUGACAGUGGAGCAGCACAUUCAGUCUGUGGUGAAAUCAAAGUACACUGAAUGUUAUGGAUUGCUCACAGCCUGGCUUGUCUCAUAUGCAUCUUUCUUUGCUUGUUUUUAUUCCUCUUCAUCUGCUUUUGAAAAGAGGGAACAACAAAUAUGGAAGCUAUCACCUCUCAUCAGUGACAAAGACAAAAUGCCCUUAUUGUGGAGUUUUUGUGCAAUAGCUCGCAAUAACAAACCUGGAGCAUUACACGAAAGGAAGUGAUAAUGUCUGUAUUUUUCUAGACAAAUGAAGCAAGACAUCUCUAGACAAUAUAGUAGGGAGCUGUUUUAUCAAUCAAUUUCAAAACAUACUCCAUCUUUUUGUAAGACUUAGUCAUUUUUCACCAAUCACCUCAUUUAUUCGAGGCAGGGUUGUUAGAUUCAGAUUGACUGCAUUGUAAAAAAAAAAAAAAAGAAAAUCUAUUCAGGUUUUACGUGUUUGCAUUCUGAUAUUUUCACAGGAACAAGUGGUACUACCACAAAACUUUUGAAAACUAUCAUUGUAAGUUUCCUCAGAAUAGAUUUGAAAUCUUAGCAAUAACAUAGCCCUGUUUUUUUUGUUUUUUUUUUGGUAUAGGAGUAAGAUGCAUGUUCUAUUUGGGUAUAAUCAUCUAUGUUUCUUACAAUAUUUUCCGAGCUUCCUGUUGUUCUGAUUGUCAGUAGUAGAAGACAGCAAUUUUGAGUUGCCCUAUUUUGGAAGGAAAAAAAAA